CCGGUGAUAGUUUAGUUGGUAGAGCGAUGGACUGUAGAAUUUAAAGGCAUCCUUAGGUCAUCGGUUCAAAUCCGUUUCGCGGGA